AAAUGGGUAGAUAUAGCCAUGAAGUAUUAAACUCAAUGUGUUGCCCAUUACUCUGUAUAACAUUAUUCAAAAUCAAAUGUUUUUACGGUCUCUUGUUAUUUUCUAACCAUACAUACAACUAGUGGUCAGCUCCAUGGUAAACUGUUAGUUUUCAUAGUGUUGUUUCCAUAUGUGUAUUACAACGUGGUAGAGAUUAUUUGCCCAGCAUAUAUAGCAUAUGGUUUACUUAUAUUUAAACAGAAUACAAAUCAAAUUAACAAGUUAAAAUAUAAGAUUUCUACCCAAAC
rnacentral:lncRNA from 1 species